GGGCGGAAUGGGGGCGGCCGCCCCCCGCGGGCGCCCGGCGGAUCGCGGACGAGCGGCGCGGCCCGGCGGUGCCGCCUGACGGAGCGGCGCGGAGGUUGCCCAGUCACUAUGAACAAUGGCCCAGCUAUACUACAAAAAGGUAAAUUACUCACCAUACAGAGACCGGAUCCCGCUGCAGAUCGUGCGGGCAGAGGCAGAGCUGUCGGUGGAGGAGAAAGCCUACCUCAGUGCUGUGGAGAAGGGGGACUAUGCCAGCGUGAAACAUGCCCUGCAAGAGGCAGAGAUCUACUACAACAUCAACAUCAACUGUAUGGAUCCUCUCGGUCGCAGCGCCCUUUUAAUAGCCAUAGAGAAUGAAAACCUGGAGAUCAUGGAGCUGCUGCUGAGCCACAGCGUGUACGUGGGGGACGCGCUGCUCUACGCGAUACGCAAAGAGGUGGUGGGAGCUGUGGAGCUGCUGCUCAACUACAGGAAGCCGAGCGGUGAAAAGCAGGUUCCAACCUUGAUGAUGGACACCCAGUUUUCAGAGUUCACUCCAGACAUCACACCAAUCAUGCUGGCAGCUCACACCAACAACUAUGAAAUCAUCAAACUGCUUGUCCAAAGACGGGUAACGAUUCCACGCCCACACCAGAUCAGAUGCAACUGUGUGGAAUGUGUCUCCAGUUCGGAGGUGGACAGCCUGAGGCAUUCCAGGUCAAGGCUGAACAUCUACAAAGCCUUAGCCAGCCCUUCAUUGAUUGCCUUAUCAAGUGAGGAUCCCAUUUUGACAGCCUUCCGACUGGGCUGGGAGCUGAAGGAGUUGAGCAAAGUGGAAAAUGAAUUCAAGGCUGAAUAUGAAGAACUUUCACAGCAAUGCAAACGUUUUGCCAAGGACCUUUUGGAUCAAGCACGGAGCUCCCGAGAACUGGAGAUCAUUCUCAAUCACAGAGAUGAUCAAAGUGAAGAGCUGGACCCCCAAAAAUGUCAUGAUUUGGCAAAGCUAAAGGUAGCAAUAAAGUACCACCAGAAAGAGUUUGUUGCUCAGCCAAACUGCCAGCAGCUACUAGCAACACUUUGGUACGAUGGUUUUCCAGGAUGGAGGCGGAAACACUGGGCCGUGAAACUGUUGACCUGUGUCACCAUUGGACUGCUGUUCCCCGUGCUGUCCGUGGCGUACCUGAUUGCACCCAAGAGCAGGCUGGGACUGUUCAUUAAAAAGCCAUUUAUAAAGUUUAUCUGCCACACCGGCUCUUACCUGACCUUCCUCUUCAUGCUCCUGCUGGCGUCGCAGCACAUCGUCAGGACUGACCUUCACAUGCAGGGGCCACCUCCCACCAUCGUGGAGUGGAUGAUCCUGCCCUGGGUUCUAGGUUUUAUCUGGGGAGAAAUCAAGGAAAUGUGGGAUGGUGGAUUCAAUGAGUAUGUACAUGACUGGUGGAAUCUGAUGGAUUUUGCAAUGAACUCCCUCUAUCUUGCAACUAUCUCCCUCAAAAUUGUUGCCUAUGUCAAGUAUAAUGGUUCCCGUCCCAGGGAGGAAUGGGAAAUGUGGCACCCGACCCUCAUUGCAGAAGCCCUCUUUGCAAUAUCCAACAUUUUAAGUUCCUUGCGUCUCAUAUCCCUUUUUACAGCCAAUUCCCACCUGGGACCCUUGCAGAUCUCUCUGGGACGCAUGCUGCUGGACAUCCUUAAAUUCCUUUUUAUCUACUGUCUGGUGCUUCUGGCUUUUGCAAAUGGACUGAACCAGCUUUAUUUUUAUUAUGAGACCAGUGCCUCGGAGGAACCCAACAACUGCAAGGGGAUCCGAUGUGAGAAACAGAACAAUGCCUUCUCCACACUUUUCGAGACCCUCCAGUCCCUCUUCUGGUCUGUGUUCGGGCUGCUGAACCUCUAUGUCACCAACGUGAAAGCCAGACAUGAGUUCACAGAGUUUGUUGGGGCCACCAUGUUUGGGACCUACAACGUCAUCUCCCUUGUUGUGCUGCUGAACAUGCUCAUAGCCAUGAUGAACAACUCCUACCAGCUCAUUGCUGACCAUGCCGACAUCGAGUGGAAGUUCGCACGGACGAAGCUCUGGAUGAGUUACUUCGACGAAGGUGCCACUCUGCCCCCUCCCUUUAACAUUGUCCCCAGUCCCAAGUCAGUCUGGUACCUUUGCAAGUGGAUCCACAACCAGCUGUGCCCAGGUGAUGACUCUGACAAUGAACAGAAGAGGCAUGAAAACCUCAAAACAUUCACAGAACGACACGCUGACAACCUGAUUCAGAAUCAACAUUACCAGGAAGUGAUAAGAAAUCUUGUGAAAAGAUAUGUUGCAGCAAUGAUAAGGACUUCCAAAACCAACGAAGGCUUAACUGAAGAAAAUUUCAAGGAAUUAAAACAGGACAUCUCAAGUUUUCGCUAUGAGGUUCUUGACCUCUUAGGAAAUAGAAAGCCCCAGAGGAGGAGUUAUUCAACCAGCAGCACAGAGGUGUCCCAGAAGGAUGAAACAAAUGAGGACGGUGCUGGAGAAAAAUCCAGAGCCAAGAGCGUGUCUUUCAAUGUAGCCAACAAAAAAAAGGACUUCAAUGUAUCUGCUCUGAUUAAAACCGUGUCUGGGAUCGAUAUUGUGGAAGAGAAGCCAAAAAGCAACGGGAUCAGUAAGCGCUCCUUUGUCCGAAACGGAAACAGAGUUCAGAGACUCUCCAGCUCCAAGAAGGAAUCCUUCAAGAGACUGGGCCUGCUCUUCUCCAAGAUGAACGGACACGUACCUGAACCCAGUUCAGAACCCAUGUACACUAUUUCAGAUGGAAUUAUUCAGCCACACUACAUGUGGAAAGACGUUAAAUAUUCUCAGAUUGACAGAGAGAGAGAAGAGAAUUGUUCCAGAAGUGAAAUUAACCUCAAUGAGGUGGCCUACAGUGGGAACACGAGACUUACAGGACAGAGCAAGGAAUGUCCUGUGGUUUGUGCCAGCUCCCUUCACUGUGCUUCCAGUAUUUGUUCCUCUAAUUCCAAACUUAUAGACUCGUCAGAGGAUGUGUUUGAUUCCUGGGGAGAGGCCUGUGACUUGUUCAUAAACCAGUGGAAAGAUGGACAGGAGGAUCACGUUACCACUCGGCUCUAAGUAAAACUAUCUUAACACUCACUGGAAAACCUACCCAAGAAUUGGUAAUUGUUUGCUCUCAUCUGAUUCAGCAUUACUGUUCCCUUUCUGUCCACAGGUGAAAAAAAAGUGUAAACACACUUAUGUUAGCCUAUUUUAUAACCAUCUGCACAGUUUUUAAUUUAUUUUUUUACACUCGCUAAUACUAAACUAAAGGUUUCACCAUUUAUAAGGUCACUAUAAACCACAGGAAUCCCUUCAGAUGUAGUCUUAGUCUUCAAACCCCACAGACUUCAGAUGCACUGGUGGCUGAGGAAAGGAUUUCUCCAGUGGUCCCACCAUCAUUCCACCCCAGGUGUGCAAAGCAAAACCAACCCCCAGCCAUAACAGCAAUAGAACCUCCUAACAGAGCUCAAAGCACUUGCAAUUUUAACAGCCAGACUGAUCCUGCAGUUCCUUCCUCGCAAACAGAACCACAGAAUGGUUUGGGUUGGAAGGCACCUCUGGAGAUCACCCAGUCCCACCCUCCUGCCAAGGCAGGGCCAUCUGACAGACCCUUCUCAAUCAGUACUCAACUACAGGCACCAGUGCAGCCCCUUCCCCCUGCCUGCCAUGUCCUCUGCCAGCAUGGCUGAUUUUAGUUAUUUGGGGGAUUUUUGAAUUUCCCUCUCCCAUUUAAAGCAUUUCCAUCUCAGCAGUAACUCCUAAGCCAGAAGAGAUGCUGUGCUUAGGACUGUGACCUAAGGAGCUGGCCUUUCAGCACGUUAGCUAACAGAACACUGUGACACCUCCAGCCAACAGAGCGAGAUGCCUUUGGACUAUAAAUAGUUGCUUUGCAGCAAGGGGGCACUUUUUGGUCUAGCUCAUUUUUUGGGUAUUGUACAGUUAUUUAAAAAAACUCCUGAAUGUGUUACUGAGGUGGGUCUGGGAACUAGAGGGCUAAGGAUCUUUGAGGAGCAAAAGACAGUAGCAGAUCCUUAAGCACUCUAUUUUCUAUCUGGUGAGCCCUGGAGACCGGGCUGACUCUAAGAACGGUUUUUUAAGAAAUCAAAUUUUAAUAUCAAAUAUUCAUUUCAAAAAAAGCUACCACAGAAACGGCUUCACAGCGGAGCAUAUUUUAAAAUGCCAUUUUACUCCACUGGAUAAAAAAGGUGAGGCUUUUUUUUUUUCCUCCUCUCCUUCUUCUUUAGUUUUGGUCAAAAACUAAAGUUUUUUCCAGGCAAAAGAGCUAUUAGAUGUAAGAAUCUGUGUAUGUAAGGACAGAGUGGCAACCUCAGCAUUUGCCAGUUAAGUGGUAAUAGCCACCUCUGGAGAAAAGGGGGAGAAAAGGGCAAGAGCAAAAAGCAAAAACAAAUGCUUAGUUUUAUGUACUUUUCUACUUGCAUCUCUUCCAUCUGUAGUGCAGAAUCCAUGUCAUACCCUCGUAUAACCUGUACAAAAUGAAACAAUGUACAUAAUAGAUAAAAUUAUUUAUUUUAUGUGUAUUUUUAGCUUAACUGUAAACUGGAAAAAAAAAAAGGCAUUUAAUUUUUUCCCAAAAAUGUAAGCCUAUUGAAAAUCAAGGUGUUUCUACCUUUUCAAGAUGUAACAUUUCCAGCUGCCUAUUGAUAAUAAACAUUUAUGAACAGCAA